GGGAGUGUAGUUCAGUGGUAGGGCACUUGCUUAGCAUGCAUGAGACCUGAGGUUCAAUCCACAGCACCACCA
rnacentral:tRNA from 1 species